GACGAACGCUGGCGGCGUGCUUAACACAUGCAAGUCGAACGGAGAGGCCCUGCUUUUGUGGGGUGCUCGAGUGGCGAACGGGUGAGUAACACGUGAGUAACCUGCCCUUGACUUUGGGAUAACUUCAGGAAACUGGGGCUAAUACCGGAUAGGAGCUCCUGCUGCAUGGUGGGGGUUGGAAAGUUUCGGCGGUUGGGGAUGGACUCGCGGCUUAUCAGCUUGUUGGUGGGGUAGUGGCUUACCAAGGCUUUGACGGGUGGCCGGCCUGAGAGGGUGACCGGCCACAUUGGGACUGAGAUACGGCCCAGACUCCUACGGGAGGCAGCAGUGGGGAAUAUUGCACAAUGGGCGGAAGCCUGAUGCAGCAACGCCGCGUGCGGGAUGACGGCCUUCGGGUUGUAAACCGCUUUCGCCUGUGACGAAGCGUGAGUGACGGUAAUGGGUAAAGAAGCACCGGCUAACUACGAG
rnacentral:rRNA from 1 species